GAAAAAGGAAAAAGGAGAGAAAAACAGAGAAACAGAGAGAGAAGAAGAAGAAAAAAAAGAGCAGAAAAUUUCUGGAGCCAGGGUUAAGGGUUCAGCCCUUUUUUCUGAUCGAAUUUCGAUCUCGAUUCCAGUCGUUUAGGUGUUUUGUUGAUUUCUGCACACUCUCCGAAGUCAAGAGAGCAAAUUUUUUUCAGAAAACCUUGUGGAAAAAAUGACCGGAAAUCCAUCAUAUUCGGCCUCAAACUCGCUGCAGUCGGAAUUCUUGGACUUCUUCCAGCGUCUGAGUUCAUUUGCUCGUGAUUUCCCAUGUUAUUUUGGCUCCUUAAAGCACUAAAAGGGAGUAGAAUAAAAAUACCAUAACAAGUGCUAAUUUGGCAGUCAUCAGGAAAGAGUUCAAGUAACAGGCAUUCAGGGAUAUUUUUGGAAUAUCAAGACACGACCCUUCUUGGUAAUUUGGCCGAAGACAGCAUUAAAAAGAAAAGGCUGGAGUCUUCUUCUUCUGGGUAGCGGACGCCGCACAGGAGCAUUAGACAUUAGAUAGAAAUUAGAAAUAGCAAACAACGGGGACUACUUGGUGGCUUAGCUUUUUGACUUUUCUCUUUGGCUUUUGGGUAGCUUUACUUCUCGUAUGUCAAAGGCAAUAGGAAGACAAAAAUCAUUCCUUGUAGCUUUUCUUUUUGACUUUUGCUUUUCGUCCUUUGUGAUUCUCUUGCCUCAUACGUCUAGGACAAUUAGAAACAAUUGAAUCAAUCGCUAUGGCUUGCCUUUCCUUUGUAAUUCGAGCAAAUUGAAUUCUCCCGAUCAAUGACAAAGGCCGCAAUUGUUCCUUCCGCUU